UAUCAAUGAUGAACAAAGAAAGGCUUGUUUCUCAUGAACAUUCGCAGUGGCCGCCUGAUUGAACUUUCGCCUUCGCCAGGCUUGAGAGUUCAUGUUGUUUCAUCCUUCCUUGGAUGUCUGAGAUCUUCUCAGAAACAUUCGCAGUGGCCGACCAAGAGCUUUCGCCUUCCCCAGGCUUGAGAGCUUGUGCUGUUUUGCUCCUUCCUUGGAUGUCUGAAGUUUUAUUUCAUUUAUUUAUUUAUAGAGAAUUAGGGUGGGUUUCUCAGUGAUGAUUUCAAUAGAUGACGAGUCUGAUACAUUAUCCAUUCCAUUCAGUAUGAAGACCAAUCGAGGCAUUUGUCUGAGAGAU
rnacentral:lncRNA from 1 species